CUGCAUCUCAAAAAAAAAAAAAACCAAAAAACAAAAAACCAAAAAACCAAACUAGAUUUUAAGUGAUCAGUGAAGAAAUCAGGGAAUUUUCUAGACAUCAAUGAUAAAAUGGACUUUUAUGAGUAAAAAAGGGUAAAAGAAGAUGACUUACUAGUUGAAAAGACCAAAUGAAGUAAGAGGUGUUUUCCUAUACGAUACUGAUUCAGUCAGAGACUUCGCAGACUAUUCAGUGUUGCUAUUCUGGUGAGGUAAAUUGGUUUCCUGUAGAUAAUUCCAUGGCUUGCAUUUCCAGCCCCAAAAGGCAAAAACAGGGAGCACGUAACUCAGUGGAAUCAAUAGCACGACCAGAAAGUCAAUUCAGUCAUAUGAUGGUGGAUCAGUAUCAUCAUUGUAAAGGAGAGGAGAUCACUGUACUGUCAGAUGCAUCACUCUGACUUUCCCCCAUCACUGUAAUCCCAGCACACUGGAAGGCUGAGGUGGGAGGAUGGCUUGAGACCAGGAGUUUGGGACCAGCCUGGGCAACAUAGCAAGACCCCGUCUCUACA
rnacentral:lncRNA from 10 species